UGUCAAGGGAUGGGAAUCGAACCCAUGACCUUCCGCUUACCGGGCAGAUGCCAUGACCACUAGGCUACCCUGGAC
rnacentral:tRNA from 1 species